rnacentral:rRNA from 1 species
GACGAACGCUGGCGGCGUGCUUAACACAUGCAAGUCGAACGGAAAGGCCCUGCUUUUGUGGGGUGCUCGAGUUGCGAACGGGUGAGUAACACGUGAGUAACCUGCCCUUGACUUUGGGAUAACUUCAGGAAACUGGGGCUAAUACCGGAUAGGAGCUCCUGCUUCAGGGUGGGGGUGGGAAAGGUUCGGUGGUUGGGGGUGGACCCGCGUGCGAUCAGGUUGUUGGUUGGGUAGUGGCUUACCAAGGCCUCGACGCAUAGCCGGUCGGAGAGGAUGAGCAGCCACACUGGGACUGAGACACGGCCCAGACUCCGGGGGGAGGCAGCAGUGGGGAAUAUUGGACAGUGGGCGAAAGCCUGAUCCAGCCAUGCCGCGGGAGUGAGGAAGGCCGUAGUGUUAUAAAGCUCUGUCACCCGGGAUGAUAAUGAGAGUACCGGGGGAAAAAGAGCCGGCGAAAACCGUG